rnacentral:rRNA from 1 species
UCACCAGACUCCUACGGGAGGCAGCAGUGGGGAAUAUUGCACAAUGGGGGGAACCCUGAUGCAGCGACGCCGCGUGGGUGAAGGAGUAUUUCGGUAUGUAAAGCCCUAUCAGCAGGGAAGAACAAUGACGGUACCUGACUAAGAAGCACCGGCUAAAUACGUGCCAGCAGCCGCGGUAAUACGUAUGGUGCAAGCGUUAUCCGGAUUUACUGGGUGUAAAGGGAGCGUAGGCGGUGAUGCAAGUCAGAAGUGAAAGCCCGCAGCUCAACUGCGGGACUGCUUUUGAAACUGUAUGACUAGAUUGCAGGAGAGGUAAGUGGAAUUCCUAGUGUAGCGGUGAAAUGCGUAGAUAUUAGGAGGAACACCAGUGGCGAAGGCGGCGUACUGGACUGUAAAUGACGCUGAGGCUCGAAAGCGUGGGGAGCAAACAGGAUUAGAUACCCCGGUACUC